AAUACGUGCAAGAUAGGUUGAUAAAAUCCACUCAUUUCAAUAAAAAAUAAACCAUAAAAUUGUGAUUUAUCGCUGUCCAACAUAAUUAAACUAGACCCAACUACAAUUGAGCAAUAAGUCUUAUAGUAAACCAAAAUAAAACAUGUGAUCCAUUUAGUACAAUAAGACAUUUCAAGAUGAGUUGUUCAUCACUAGCAGAUUCAUUAAUCCUUCUUUGGUUGAUUUAUGCUUGGAAUUAGAAUGAACUUAAACAUCUUUGAGGAAGUUCGAUUACCAACUACUGCUAUUAUUGUUACCACCGAUAUGGCAUCAAGUCAUCAACAUUGAUAUUUGGUUGUCCCUGUGAUGGCUUAGAUGUUAAGUAAGUGCUGCAUUUGUUUGAGCUUGGGUAUUGGUGACAUUCCUUUGGAUCUGACUUGCUGGUGCUGGGGUCCUUAAGAUCCUUUGCAUGGGCCUAAACCUUGUGGCACCAAUUUUGUGUUGAGUAGUAUUUGCUUAUGUAACCUUUGGGAGGGAGGCAUUUAGGGCUUUAGAUUGAAUCAUAGUGGGCUACAAAAUGACUACAAAAUAGAAACAUAUCAACAAAACCUGUAAACUAGAGGCUUUAAAUGACUACAAAAUUAACCGCAUUGUAUUAACUUACCCCUACUUGUAAUGCAAAUUGUAAGACAUUAAUUUUCUCAGCCUCACCAAUGGACCUCUUUGGCAUCUUUAUUUUUUUUUCUUGGACUUGGUCUAUAUGAACUCAAAAUUAGUAUCCACUAAUAAUAACAUUAGUGAUUAAAAUUGUCUAAAACUAAGACUUUAGUUAAGUGACUAUAUGUGUUGCCUCUUAAUAUGUUGUACUGGGAUACGAAUUUUAGUAAUGGCCACGUAGUAAAUAGAACCAUGUGUGUGUAUGUGAGUGGGAUGUGUGUGAGUGUGGCUUCAAAUUAGGGACUGUCCAAUCUAUCCAAACAAAAAAAAAAGUCUAAAUAUAGGUUCUAAUACGAUAGAACUAGUUAUUAAAAUCGAACCGGUAAUUGAUCCGAUGAAGUUACUGGGUCACUGAAUUAGUGGUUCAAUCGAUGGGUCAAUGGUCGAACAGUUUGACCUGGUAAUAAUUAAAUAAAUAUAUAAAACUAUAAUACAAUGUUUAUUGAAAAAUAAAAAUUAGUGUUUAAUAUUUUAUAUUAUUUAAAAAUAAAUAUAUAAAAUUAUAAUACAAUAUUUAUUAAAAAAUAAAAUAUUAUUUAAAUUUAAAUAAAUUAUAUAUAAAUUUCAUUAGCUCAUUGCUUUAAUGUGAUAUAUAUAAUUUAUAUAAAUUAUUAGCCUUUAAUUUAAUAGGUCUAAUCUGAAAAAAAUUAAAAAAAAAGUUACAUAUAGAUAAAAUUAAAAGUAAAAAUAUUUUGUUGAUAAAAAAUAAGAAACAAUCAAAAUUUUAAAAGAGAAAUAAACAUAUAUAAGUUGAAUUACAUAAGUAAACAUGUGAGGUUAAAAUUAUUCUAAUAAAAUAUGAACUAAUGUAAGGUUGCAAGGUUGGAGCAUUACUCAUGUGAACUUGGUUAUUAUAUAUUCUAUUAUUAGCAUACAAUAGAGUAAGAGUGUGCCUGAGUUCGAAUCCCAUGUGAAGCAUUCUUGUGAAUUAAUUCACAAGUUCUUCUACUGUGAUUCAGCAUCCCCGCUGGUGUACCGUGGAGGCGCAGGUCAGCGGCCCGAACUACACCGGUUCGUGUCGAACUGUCUGGUUUUUAACGGAUUUGACCACCGUUGAUCGGGUUAAUUACUGAAGCGGUCUAAUAAUAAAAUAGAACCGAAUAGAUCAUUGAUUUACUGGAUUUUUUAGUCAAAUCGACCGGUUCGGUUCGAUUCUGAUUACUAUGCCACAGAAUCCUCCAGGGAUGCAUUAUUGAUUUCCAACAAGGUUGUUGGUCAAACCAAAGCCUUCACCCUAAAUACCAUAAUUUUGUCUAAAUAUUAAUUUACUACAAUUAAACUCCUAUCCUUUUAAGUUGAGUACAAAUAAUUUCGGGACUAAUUUAAAUUAUGACACAUAACUAUCUAGGUUUUUUUAUUAAAAUAAAUAAACAAAAAUAUUUAAUUUCAAAAAUACGUGUGGAAAUAAAGUAGGACAAAAAUACGCAUGGCCAUUUCAAAGCCAGCACACACAAAAUGGAAGAACCUGGCAGAGCAGUGGAGUGUGGCGCGGGGAAAACGAGGAUUGAUGCCAACUCAAGCCUGGCGACCACGAGUUAGCGCACCUUGGGCAUGGCGACCACGAAUUGGAGCAAUUCACGCGAGGCACCCUCUUCCUUGAUCUGUGGCCGAGUUACUUAAAUCCUGUUUUUGGGCUUCUGGCAAUGAGUCGUUUCACGUUUUUUCCUUUCUUCUCUUUAAAAUAUCUUUUAUGUCUUCUAGAAAAGGUACAUUGAUACAUCUAGAAGGGGAAAUAUGGUUAGGAAGGACACACGGUUAAGGGAAGGAAGCUCUGGAUUUAACUAACUCAGAAAUGGAUCUGACAGAACGGGAAAGAUAUCAGCAGCUGGAGGGAGCCGAGAAGAAGAUUAUGCCUUGUGAGUCUAUUCUUCUCUCUAGUCUGUUCUUUAUUCUCCUAUUCUUUCUUCUCCCCUAUUAUUGACAUAAAAAUAUAAGGUGAAUUUUAUGGUGUAAAAGGAGAGACUCUUAUAUAUGUUGUAAACAGUAGAAAUUAUUAAAUGUCUAGAGAAAAAAAAUGUAAAAAUAAUGUCUGUCAUUGUCUGAAUAAGUUACAGAAUUCUUUUACUUCUUUAUUCCUUGAUGCACGUGAAGAAAUUUAGUUGUUAAAUGUGGUAAAUAUUUAUUUAAUUAGUGAUUAUGAAUAUGAUGUUGGGUCUUUAUUUAGAGACACUUUUUUGUAUUUGUAAAAUUCUAUUCGUGUUGGG
rnacentral:lncRNA from 1 species